GAUGAAGAACGUAGCGAAAUGCGAUAAGUAAUGUGAAUUGCAGAAUUCAGUGAAUCAUCGAAUCUUUGAACGCACCUUGCGCCCUUUGGCCAUUCCGAAGGGCAUGCCUGUUUGAGUAUAUGAACACCUCAACUCUUCAUGGUUUUCCAUGAUGAGCUUGGACUUUGGGGGUCUUGCUGGCCUGUGGGUCGGCUCCUCUCAAAUGAAUCAGCUUGCCGGUUUUUGGUGGGCAUCACAGGUGUGAUAACUAUCUACGCUUGUGGUUUUCCACCAGGGUAACCUUCAGCAGUGGAGGUUCACUGGAGCUUACAAAUGUCUCUCCUCUGUGAGGACAGCCCUUUGAAUGUUUGAUCUCAAAUCAGGUAGGACUACCCGCUGAACUUAAGCAUAUCAAUAAGCGGAGGA
rnacentral:misc_RNA from 1 species